CCUGCUGAAAAAAACAAUAGAAACCAUUACAGAAUUUGUAAUGGUUUUAAUGGUUCUUAUUGGAAUUCUAAUGGUUUUAAUGGACACUGUAAUGGUCUCUGUGGGUCUCUAUUGGUAAUUUGCUUUCUUCUAUUGGUGGCGUGUAUUGUCUAUUGGAUACCAUUAAGGACCAAUAGAACACCUUUAGAAACUUCUAGUGGUAUCUACUGGACACCAGUAGAAACCAUUAUGACUCCAAUAAAUUUAGUGGUUUCUUUGGAAAACUGUAAUGGUCUUAGUGGGUAGGCUACUGCUGAAAAAAAAUGAACACACAAACAAUAGAAACUAUUACAAAAUUUGUAAUGGUUUUAAUGGUUAUAAUGGGAAUUAUGUUGGUUGUAAUGGUCACAGUAAUGGUCCCUGUGGGUCUCUAUUGGUAAAUUGCUUUCUUCUAUUGGUGGUAUGUAUUGUCUUGGAUUGCCACCAUACGUCAUUUGGAAAGGUUAUUUUUAAUUCAUUUAAUUUUUUUUUUUUUUUUUUUUUUUUUUUAAAUCAACUCGACUGGUCAUGGCCUUCAAAAUUGACUUGAAAAGUUGGUAUUUGUUUUGUCUGUCGGAUUUGGUCCAAAUUUAGCCCAAAAAUAGAUGUGAAAUAACAGUGAAAUUCUGCGUGACUUCCACGUGCUGUAAUGUGCGCGCGCGCAGAACUGGAGCGGAGGACGUCACCAUGGAAACGAGGCGGCAGCCCAACCGUCAAGCAGCUGAUCGCUGACACUCAAUGUGGUUUCACUUUUUUUUUUAGGUAAGUUUAGUCUAUUAAAUUACACAAAUAGUACAUUAAAGUGUUCCUGACACUUUAUUUCAUGUAAAUUAUACACUUUCGUUUAAUAUUUACUUCAUAGAAAUGGUUUAGCGUCGUCAGAAAAAGGCCGUUAGCAUCUCAAAGGUAAGGCUAACUACAAGAGGUAACGAUAGACAUGAGCUCUUAUUUAUUAAGUUUGGGCUUUUAAUGUCAUCUUGUGUGUAGAUGAGCUCUCUCUCUCUCUCUCUCUCCAUAUAGAUCAAUGGAUGAAUGGAAGUAACCAAAUUAAUUUAACCCUAAAAGUAUGCACUGUUUAAUCCUAAAAUGUGCACUAACGUAACCGGAUAACUUUACAUCACUUACAUAGAGCGUGAAAAUGGACUGAAACCUUCAGGUUUUGAUCUUUCAUGGUAAACACAUAAAUACAAACUUGUUCUGUGAUUUCAGAAGUGCCAGAAAAAAACCUCUAUGACGCAGGAGAAGUUCCUGAUUUUAACAUUUCUGAAGGGAGCUGCUGACAGAGAGGAUGAAAACAUACACAUUUUGAUGUCCACGCUUGCUUAUGUUCCUAGGUUCUUCCAUGCUGAUGGCUGUGCUCUAGUCAUAUCUCCUGUCGAAGAACAUUUUUAGACAUUAUGAACCAUGAAUAAGUUUAGCUCCAACCCCAGUUAAGCAGACCUGAGCAGCUGAUCAAGGAUCAGCAGAAACUCUGCAGAACGGUGGUCCUCCAGCCCAGGACUGGACACCAGUGUUAGUGUCUGUCUCAGAAGCUGAAGAAAAAAGGUCACACCUUAUAGGAAAUAAACGCCUCCUAAGUGUAUGGAAAUACCUGGCUGAGGAGAUCAGUGACAUAAACCAGAUAAAACUGUCAGUGGUCUGAGACAGCUACAAGCCACAAAAACAGUUCAUAGUUCCUGCAUUUCUAUAAUGCAUUAAUGAAUAACAAUAAUUAAAAUAAAAUGUAAUGUCAAGGUUUUGUGUUAAUUCCAGCUAUGUUGAGUAUUCUGUGAAUAAUUUUGAUUUUAGGUGCAUAUUCUUAAUUCUUUGCAAAACAACCUGAACUGUUUGCUAUUGAAAGGUUGGUAUGAAGUUUAAAUAAAUAAAAACAUUAUAUUCUUGACAAAA